rnacentral:lncRNA from 1 species
AUAAUAAUAUUUAUUAUCAUCUGGUAACUUUGUUUUGUCAUGAAAUAUAGGUUAAAAUGUUUCACUUAGUCUAUUCUAUACUUAACCACAUGGAUCUUCGGAAAAACAUAACUCCAUAACUGUAACCCCGAAUUUAGCCAUUCUCGAACCCACGAUCCUGUAGCAACACGUAGAUUAUUAUUAUUCAAUACAUUCUUAUGUUUGGUGUAAUGUUAAUUUUUGCCUAUACAAUGUUUGUUUGUAUUGCUACGACUAGAGCGAGAUCACGAGUCAUCUGAAGAGCAAGUUGGUACCUGGAAUCUCAAGUCCCAGGCAAGUUGUGCCCUUGAUCACUUCUUUUUACCCAGCCAUGUUCUGAUUAAUCAUAAUGAUCUGCAUAGGUUAAUUUUGAUGGGACCCAAUAGGUUACCCUAGUUUGAUUAUCUUUAUACCUUGUUACCACUGAACUUUUUGGGUAGUACUUGCUAGUGCUUUAUGUGGUUUUGGGUAUGAAGAUACAUUACUCAUGAUUAUACUUUUGUUAUCCGUUGUUAUUUAUCGUUCAUGAUAAGAUCAUUAUGUUAAUUGGAACAUGGAGCGACCACCCGGGAAAACAGUGCUACCACAAGGGUUUAAUGGGACGCCCUUGGCUGAUUAAUUAGGAAAGCUAGUGGAGGACUACCUUACCCGAAAGGGGCAAGGGCAGUAGGGGAGUGGUCAGUAUAGGGAGGCCCUCGGGAGGAUUUUGCUGCGAUGGCGGUCCUGCAAGGGAUUCCUGCAUUGGAGCUUCCUAUAAACUGUAGCGGGUUUUCUGAAGCUAGUGGAACUUUGUAAAGGCCUCGUAGUGUUACCCUGCCUCGCCUCCUCGGUAGAGGUGUAUGGGAAGUCGCGAUCCCUUGGCAGAUGGGUAACAUGACUUGUGGGUAAAGAUGCGCAACCUCUGCAGAGUGUAAAACUGGUAUACUAGCCGUGCUCACGGACAUGAGCAGCUCGGACCCUCACAUGAUUAAUUUAUGGAACUUAAAUUCAAUUUGUCAUAUGCAUUGCAUCGCAGGUGAUGUUGUUACUUUUGUUCUACUUCUUAAUUGGGUUGGUAUUUACUUAUACUUAGUAAUUGCUAAUAAAAUUUUGACCAACUUUAAAAGCAAUGCUCAGCUUCAACCAUUCUCUUUGGUAAGCUUUACACUUCACGUGAGCUCCCACUUUUGGCGAGUUCAUGCACAUUAUUCCCCACAACUUGUUGAGCGAUGAACGUAUGUGAGCUCACUCUUGCUGUCUCACACCCCCCCACAGGUCAAGAACAGGUACCGCAAGAUGAGGCGUGGAGGAUGCUGCGAUUUGUUCGUGAGAGGUCUAGGUCGUCGUCUCCCAGUCAACUUUGGGUUGCUGGACCGUUGUCUCCUUAUAAUGUAAUUAUUUAUUUAUUUUUGUACAGAACUCCUGUUAUGUAGUAAAGAUGUGACAUUCGAUCCUGUGCCAUGAUUCAUCAUAUGUGUGAGACUUGGUCCCAGCACACCUGGUGAUUAUGUUCGCGCCCGGGUCUUGGUGCCCCUAAAAUCCGGGUGUUACAGAAGUGGUAUCAGAGGAAUGUUGACUGUAGGACGAAACCUAGAUAGAACUGGACAACCAAUACUUACUUACCUUUGCUACUCUGAUUCUUUUCUAAACUUAUCUUAAUAUUUUCUCAUUUAUUUCCGCUUUACUCUGAUUAUUCUUACCUUUUAUUUCCAAAGACAGAUGUGGAUUUCACACUUUGAAAUCCUGUACCUAAAGUGACCUUUAGGAAUAGGAGACCUAAUAUUAGGAACAAAAAACAAAACUAUUUUUAUAAGUAUUUGUAUGAUUGGUUAUUUGUUCUUAUGAUAUUUGUCUGAUUUGGAUCUUUGAUUGAGUGCAAUGAGUUGUGGAGUAAUGUCCACAAUUACAUCUAUAUAUACAUAUAGUAAAAAAAUGUUGAUAAAAUAACUAGCCAACUUAGAUUAUUCCCCACUAAAAUAUAUUAAGCUUAAUAGAUCCAUCUCAUCUCAAAAGAUCCUAACUUAUCCUAAUUAAAGUCUUUCUAGCUUAAUAGAUCUAUCUUAUCAUAAAAAAAUACUCUAUUACCUUAGUGGAUUCAGCUUAUCUUGAAAAGAUUUUAUGUCAUCCUAAUAGAUCUAACUCAACCAGUAGAGUCAUGAUGAAUUACAUAAUCAGACUAUCCAAACUUUUGACCAACAUCAUGUAGUCUAUCUCAUCCAUAUCUAUCCUAACCAUAUGCCCCCAACCUCGAUGGUAUGCACUCACCGCGAAUCAAUGAGACCAAGAUCGGAGGAGAAAAGACCAACCUCGUCAAGGGAGGAGUCAAGUCAAACUCAAUCUUCAGAUGCAUUACCACUCAACACGAAAUUCUUUCUCACCAUAAACUUUCUUACCUUAGGUUAUUCUUGCCCUAACCUAUCUUUCAUCCUACACAAUAAGGUGACUAUACCUAUAUAUACCCAUGCUUUCAUAACCACUUUCUAAAUAACAUAACACUUCUUAGAAGUUAAAGGCUAAACUAUAAAUAAAACUUUUUACAUCCCUGUCCUUACAAAUCUCGAGGACGAGAUUAUUUUUAAGGGGGGUAGGAUUUGUAACACCCAAUUUGUAAAUUGUAAGAGAUAAUGUAAAUGGAGAAAUAAUAUUCCUGUGUAUAUAUGUGUGUUAUCUACAUUUAUCAUUUCAUGUGAACACCACAAUUAAACAAAUAAAUAAAUGAUAAAAGACACCCAAAAAUAAUACAUGCAUCAUGCUGGGAUUUUACUUUUGUGUGCAUUUUGUGAUAACAUAAAAAAUAAUAUGACGAUAAAUAUAUUAAAAUCCUAAAAGGGGAAGGUGGAAUAUAAAAGAUAAACUAGAAUUUAUAAGUGGAGAAAGAGAAGAAAAUGUAUGGACAAAUAAAUAAGUAAAUAAAAUAAUAGUAUAAGCAAAAUUGUACCCUUAAUCUGAGGGAGCUUUACCACAUUGUAAGUUUGAAUUUUGAAUUUUGAACUCCAAACUCAAAGGGAAAACAAAACAAAAUAUAUAUAAAAAAAGAAAAUAAAUAGGGAAAAUCGCUUGGGCCUGGGAACCAAAAUUCGGCCCACUUCACACCUCACCGCCCGCCAUGCUCGGUCUCACUUACGUGCGGGGCCCACUUUCAGCCGCCGCCCGCUCCUUUCACUCUGUCUGUGACCGCUGGGACCCAUUAGUCGGUCUCCACUUUCUUGUGCGCGGGCUUGGGCUGGGGAAAACUCCUUGCUGGCGGGUGGUCCCCGCUUGUCGGGUCCGUCCUUCUUCCCCAUCCCAAUCGGGAUUUCGCUCCUGGCGGCAGGUUGAGCACAACCGACUGCACCGGUUUGCCGAGAUCUGCGCGAACCCCAGGACCGCGUCUUCCCCCACCAUCCACGGUAACAAACUCCGCCCAUCAGAACGCCGAUCGCGCCGGUCAACUCGGACUCGCCCUUUCUGCCCCUAUAAAAUCCGCGGCUCGUGGUGCUUUUCCCCUGGACUGAAUCCAUCGGGCGCCGCCGUGGGCAAUCCAUACCUUCGCCGUCGCCCAGGCCCUUUCCAUCGGUACUCGACGCACGACCCUUCUCGACUCCGCGUCAGUGCCCCUCUGCCUCGGGGGCGCGAUGGAUCUCCUCAUCGCGCAGAUCACCACCGACCUCCUCCACGCGCUCCAGCUGCCGUGGAACCGCUCUGCGAUGUGAACCGCUGCGUGCCCUCGCCGACCCACGACGCACUUCGAUUCGCCAUCCUUGAUCCACCUGGUGCUGGCCUGUGUGUUGUGACUUGCCGCUCGGGGUCCUCGUGGAUUCACUAGCGUGGUUACCCUCGGAAGCUCGCCCAAUUUCUCAUCAGAGCUUCGACUCCAUCGUGUACCCGCCUCGUGCCUUGGACAACCAUUCCUGCGAUCCUAUUGCUGGUAAGAAGCUUUUCUCCGAGCUCGCCUUCGCUUUCAUUACGUGUAGCAAUCAUCUAGACCUGAUUUGGGGCGCCAAGGCCUUAGAUCGCCUGUGCUCCGGCGGAGCUCCGCCGUGCUCAGCGUGCUGACGCCUCUGUUUGGGCGAGGGAGGGGGACGAUUAGCCAGGGCCGUUGGAUGAUGUGUGGGCGGCCGCGAUUACAUUAGGGCGGGACCGAUUCAAUUGGUUGAUCGUGUCCGUCGGUGGCAGAUCAACGGCCAUGGGAGUUUAAGACUUUGUUUUCAUCGUAGACAUAGGAUCUUGAUCCGACGACCAGCGUGGUGUACCGGUUCGUGAGACUUGGAUCUAAUCAGAGCCAUUGAUGGGGAAUCCAACGGCUCAAAACACAAGUUACCCUUUCGGCCGUCAAUGUUGCAUAUGAGCCCUCGUCCUUUUAGUGAAUAAACCCGCGGUCCAGCGCGGAUGGCUCUGUGUCUUAGAGAUUUUUGCCCCGAGACCCCUGUGUUACCUGUAAAUAGUCUCCCAGUCCAAGGAUUUAUAAAACCCAGUAAAAGUAAUUAGUAAAUGGUUUUUAAUAUGAAAAUAAAUGCUAGAACUUGUUUAAUUUAUAGAAAAUGCAUACUUAGUCCAAACUUGUCCCUUCCAAUUCCUAAAAUUUGGUAAUAUUAUUAUCUAUCACCUGGAAUCUCUGUUUAAGUCAUGAAAACAGUGAUAAAAUUGAUUUCCUAAUUAAUCCUAUGCGAGACACAUAGAAUCUUCAGAAAAUCAUAACUCGUCCGUUGUAACUCCGUUUUGAUCCAUUCUAGUUGCAUUAGUCUCAUAAUAAUAUUUAUUAUCAUCUGGUAACUUUGUUUUGUCAUGAAAUAUAGGUUAAAAUGUUUCACUUAGUCUAUUCUAUACUUAACCACGUGGAUCUUCGGAAAAACAUAACUCCAUAACUGUAACCCCGAAUUUAGCCAUUCUCGAACCCACGAUCCUGUAGCAACGCGUAGCUUAUUAUUAUUCAGUUCAUUCUUAUGUUUGGUGUAAUGUUAAUUUUUGCCUAUACAAUGUUUGUUUGUAUUGCUACGACUAGAGCGAGAUCACGAGUC